UGUGCUUUUAUUGACCGAAGAGGGAACUCUUCUAUACCAGUUCUGCAAUCUAUCAACGACGUUUGACGAUCUGUAAUUUUAAUAACAAUGAUAUUAUUUUAUAAUCAUUAUAAAAUAUUUAUUUAUAUUAUAUUUUUUUUUUAACUAGGCCUUUUGCACGAUUAUAAGACGUGGACUAAAAAUAGCAAAGACUAAACCAACAAACAACUUAAGUUUUUAUUUUAUAAGUAAACAUUUUAAAUAAUUAACACAAUGACUUACAUUGUGAAUACCAUAG